rnacentral:rRNA from 1 species
UACGGAGGGUGCUAGCGUUGUUCGGAAUCACUGGGCGUAAAGGGCGUGUAGGCGGCCUGCUAAGUCUGAUGUGAAAUCCCCUCGCUCAACGAGGGAACUGCAUCGGAUACUGGCAGACUCGAGUACCGGAGAGGAAGGUGGAAUUCCCGGUGUAGCGGUGGAAUGCGUAGAUAUCGGGAGGAACACCGGUGGCGAAGGCGGCCUUCUGGACGGAUACUGACGCUGAGACGCGAAAGCGUGGGGAGCAAACAGG